AAGUUAACACAUUAAGCUCUCCGCCUGGGAAGUACGCUCGCAAGAGUGAAACUUAAAGGAAUUGACGGGGGCCCGCACAAGCAGUGGAGCAUGUGGUUUAAUUCGACGCUACGCGAAGAACCUUACCAAGUCUUGACAUACGAUUAAAUACCCUAGAAAUAGGGGGAUAGCUAUAGUCGAGACAGGUGGUGCAUGGUUGUCGUCAGCUCGUGUCGUGAGAUGUUGGGUUAAGUCCCGCAACGAGCGCAACCCUUGUCCUUAGUUACCAUCAUUAAGUUGGGGACUCUAAGGAGACUGCCGAUGUAAAUCGGAGGAAGGUGGGGAUGACGUCAAAUCAUCAUGCCCUUUAUGUCUUGGGCUACACACGUGCUACAAUGGCCGGUUAAACAAAGAGAAGCAAUGCCGCGAGGUGGAGCAAAUCUCAUAAAGCCGGUCUCAGUUCGGAUUGAAGUCUGCAACUCGACUUCAUGAAGCUGGAAUUGCUAGUAAUCGCGAAUCAGCAUGUCGCGGUGAAUACGUUCCCGGGCCUUGUACACACCGCCCGUCAAACCAUGAGAGCUGGUAAUACUUGAAGUCGGUAUCCUAACCGUAAGGAGGGAGCCGCCUAAGGUAGGACUGGUGAUUGGGGUUAAGUCGUAACAAGGUAUCCCUACGGGAACGUGGGGAUG
rnacentral:rRNA from 1 species